UACGUAGGGUGCGAGCGUUAAUCGGAAUUACUGGGCGUAAAGCGUGCGCAGGCGGUUCGUUAUGUCCGAUGUGAAAGCCCCGGGCUUAACCUGGGAAUGGCCGUUGAAACUGGCGAACUGGAGUGUGGCAGAGGGGGGUGGAAUUCCGCGUGUAGCAGUGAAAUGCGUAGAUAUGCGGAGGAACACCGAUGGCGAAGGCAAUCCCCUGGGCCUGCACUGACGCUCAUGCACGAAAGCGUGGGGAGCAAACAGG
rnacentral:rRNA from 1 species